UUCCGGUUGAUCCCGCCAGAGGUUACUGCUCUGGGAGUCGGAUUAAGCCAUGCUAGCGGAGGGCAGCUCGGCUGCCCCGCGAAAAGCUCAGUAACACGUGAUCAAUCUACCCUUGGGACGGAGAUAACCCCGGGAAACUGGGGAUAAUACCCGAUAGGCGGGGGUUCUGGAAAGGUCCCUCGUCGAAACGCUCCGGCGCCCAAGGACGAGAUUGCGGCCUAUUAGGUAGUUGGUGAGGUAAAGGCUCACCAAGCCGAAGAUGGGUACGGGCCCUGAGAGGGGGAGCCCGGAGAUGGAGACUGAGACAAGGCUCCAGGCCCUACGGGGCGCAGCAGGUGCGAAAAUUCCGCAAUGCGUGCAGGCGUGACGGAGUGACUCCCAGUGCCGAUGGUCUAACGAUCGUCGGCUUUUCUGGAACGUAAAAAGUUUCAGGUAAUAAGGGCCGGGUAAGACUGGUGCCAGCCGCCGCGGUAACACCAGCGGCUCGAGUGGUAACCGAUUUUAUUGGGCCUAAAGCGUCCGUAGCCGGAUCGGCAAGUCCCUUGUGAAAUCGGACGGCUUAAUCGUUCGGCUUGCAUGGGAAACUGCGGAUCUUGGGGUCGGCAGGCGUCGAGGGUACUCCGGGGGUAGCGGUGAAAUGCUAUAAUCCCUGGGGGACCGCCAGUGGCGAAAGCGCUUGGCGGGGCCGAACCCGACGGUGAGGGACGAAGGCCAGGGGAGCGAACCGGAUUAGAUACCCGGGUAGUCCUGGCUGUAAAGUAUGUGGGCUAGGUGCUGGGCUUUCCUCGAGAGUGCUCGGUGCCGAAGGGAAGCCGUUAAGCCCACCGCCUGGGAAGUACGGCCGCAAGGUUGAAACUUAAAGAAAUUGGCGGGGGAGCACCACAAGGGGUGGAGCCUGCGGUUUAAUUGGAUUCAACGCCGGA
rnacentral:rRNA from 1 species